CUGAAAGUGCAGAGUGUGAAACCUGCCAGCAGCCUGGGCAGUGCAAACUUCCCUGCACUGUCCUGCCAACAGGCCCUCCUAGCCCAAAGGGGAUCACCUUUGUGGUGACAGCAUAAUUUGAUCUCUGUGCCAUCUAAUCCUUGUUUUCU
rnacentral:sRNA from 1 species